GGACAACCUGCCCUGCGGUGAGGGAUAACUCCGGGAAACUGGAGAUAAUACCUCAUAGUUUACCAUCGCUGGAAUGCCUGGUAAGCGAAAGGUCCGCCGCCACAGGAUGGGUCUGCGGCCGAUUAGGUUGUUGUUGGGGUAACGGCCCAACAAGCCUGUGAUCGGUACGGGUUGUGGGAGCAAGAGCCCGGAGAUGGAUUCUGAGACACGAAUCCAGGCCCUACGGGGCGCAGCAGGCGCGAAAACUUUACAAUGCAGGCAACUGUGAUAAGGGAACCCCGAGUGCCCGUAUGGACGGGCUGCCCAGGUGCUUAAAAACCACCUGGAGAAAGGGCCGGGCAAGACCGGUGCCAGCCGCCGCGGUAAUACCGGCGGCUCGAGUGGUGGCCACUAUUACUGGGCUUAAAGCGUCCGUAGCUUGGUCGUUAAGCCUCUGGGGAAAUCUUCCGGCUCAACCGGAAGGCGUCUCAGGGGAACUGGCGGCCUAGGGAUCGGGAGAGGUGAGAGGUACUCUGGGGGUAGGAGUGAAAUCCUGUAAUCCUCAGGGGACCACCUGUGGCGAAGGCGUCUCACCAGAACGACUCCGACAGUGAGGGACGAAAGCUGGGGGAGCAAACCGGAUUAGAUACCCGGGUAGUCCCAGCCGUAAACGAUGCGCGUUAGGUGUAUCGGUGACCACGAGUUACCGAGGUGCCGAAGGGAAACCGUGAAACGCGCCGCCUGGGAAGUACGGUCGCAAGGCUGAAACUUAA
rnacentral:rRNA from 1 species